rnacentral:snoRNA from 1 species
GGCUCGAUGAUUUUAAGCCUUAUUUGUUGGCUAUAUACGCUAUUCUGAACAACAUUAUGUUGUAUUGAAAGAUUUAAAAAUUGCCUGAGAGUC